GACGAACGCUGGCGGCGUGCUUAACACAUGCAAGUCGAACGGAAAGGCCCUGCUUUUGUGGGGUGCUCGAGUGGCGAACGGGUGAGUAACACGUGAGUAACCUGCCCUUGACUUUGGGAUAACUUCAGGAUACUGGGGCUAAUACCGGAUAGGAGCUCCUGCUGCAUGGUGGGGGGUGGAAAGUUUCGGCGGUUGGGGAUGGACUCGCGGCUUAUCAGCUUGUUGGUGGGGUAGUGGCUUACCAAGGCUUUGACGGGUAGCCGGCCUGAGAGGGUGACCGGCCACAUUGGGACUGAGAUACGGCCCAGACUCCUACGGGAGGCAGCAGUGGGGAAUAUUGCACAAUGGGCGGAAGCCUGAUGCAGCAACGCCGCGUGCGGGAUGACGGCCUUCGGGUUGUAAACCGCUUUCGCCUGUGACGAAGCGUGAGUGACGGUAAUGGGUAAAGAAGCACCGGCUAACUACGUG
rnacentral:rRNA from 1 species